GUUCACUGUUGAAUAACAGGUCUUGGGGGGAGGAGAGGGGCUCUAAUUCGUAGUAUUUGUUCAUCUUCAUGAUGUAUAUACUUUCCUGGUGGCCACUUUUAAGCUACCAACCUGACAUUAAACAGUCCAUAAAAUCCCUGGAAAUUAUUGACUUUCAUCACGGUGGCUCAAAUUGUGGCAUCUGAAGCUUUGAUUCUCUGCCACAGGGAUGUUCCUUUGGACUGGGUACCAGAUAUCCCUGAAAACCUGUGCCCUGAGCUAGGGGUGGGGUCUCAUGACAGGAGGGAGAGGAAGACUUGUUUAUUAAUCCUAUAGUCGACAUGAGUAUGGCACUGAAACCCAGGGCUGAGUCUUGCUGAGCUGCUUCCAGAUCCAGGUGGCACCUACCGCUCUUCCCACGGUGGCCAUGGGCCUAUUCCCAACCUAGCACUGCCCGCAUAGAAGCAGAUCUAGUUGGCCUCUUCAAGCCCUUCAUUUUGGAAAUAAUAAUUCAUAGGGUGCCUAAGAACAAUAAAUCACUUAGAAACUGGUAAUGCUCCUUAAAUAUUUGCACCUGAUGUGUUUUCUUCAACACAUCCAUGUGUUCAAAGGCUGCCCAGUUUUUUUCCAAAUGGCAUGAUGUUUGUAUGAUUCCUACAGAUGUACAUCCAAACAACAGGUCAGAUUUAGAGGCAGAGAAGGCAGGACCUCUGUACCUCUAGGAGGCUUCCCUAUUAAGACAUGGUUUCCAGUCAAGGGCUAGUUAGCCAAGUCAUGUGCUUUGAGCUGGCCUGGUCAAAGACAACUACAUUGAUGAAGGGGCUCUGACUUAAUUAAGAUGAGGCCUCUUUCAAGCGACUGCCUGGAAAUCAGCAAAGAGGAGCCUGGGGCCAUUGCUAACCUUCCUGCUCAAAAAGCAAAAGAUGCAAAGGAAGAACAGUGUUUGAGGCUGUAGGCAAAGAUGGAUGCAAAUGAUGAUAACACUUUGCUCUGUCCCCAACCUAAGAAUAUCGUCAGCCAUAGAAGAGAAGGGACAUUUGCUCCUUUGUGAGGCCAACCCAUUGCAAGUGGGAGUUGUAGGUACUGGUUUUGUCUGCAGUCAAGGCGGUGGCUGAUUGAUUUUUAUACAUUAGGCAUCUUGAUAUUGGCAGGGGUGUUUAGGUGAUGCAGACCAGAGAAAGUUCAUUAACACAGUCAGCUCAGGAUGGUUUAGAUUCUCCAGGAGACCAGCUUUGCCCAGCAUCCUACAGAGACCUUGGAAGGAGUCCUGGGGAAUCUGUCUGCUGUCUUUACAGCGAUCCGGGGAAGCACAUGUAAGAAAGACAUGUUUGAUUUGGGGAUUAUAGGCCUAAAAGAGGUAGCCCGAAGAAUGUCUUCAUCUCAGUUUGCUUUUGUUGCUUGCUGAGCAUGCCGGCUCCAUGGGAAGAUUAGACCGUUCUUGUUUGUUUGGAAGAAGCAUUCAGAAAACCCAAGGCCUUCAGCCUCCUGCAGUCACUAGGCUGGCUGGGGACGCCUGGUGCUCUGCCCUGAACUGAAGUUGUAUUUAUUUUAUUCUUUGGUCUGCUUUUUUUUUUUUUUUUGAUCUGUGAUCUCUGGAUUUUCAAGCAGUGAUUUGUAGAAAGCAUGCUGAGCAGCCCGAAUGCCACCCCAGGCACUGCUCAGAAAGGAUCACCAAACUUCAGCAGCCAUUAGAUCAAAGCAGAAACCAAAACAGAAAGACUGGCUGGUGGGGAAACGCUGACCUUUCUGUGUGCUGGCUCCAAGCGCAUAUGGAUUGUCCUUCCUGCCUGGGAGAAUCAUUUCCUAAGUCAAUUGGCUUUCACUGAAGAAAUGUCAGCAUUAUGAUCAAAAGCUCCAUGAACCUUCCUGAACGUCCAAUGGCAAGGGCGAGGGGGCUUCCCUUGGGUGUUGCCUGAAUAAGCCAAAUAGUGUACUGGUUGGAAUAAAUUUUGCAGUUGUUUGUGUUUAUGUUGCUUGAACUUGAAGAUGGCUAGUGGUUUUCCAAUUCUGUGAACUCUUGUCUUCUGCUGGGCAAAGUUCUAUGUGUACCUCUGAUUCUCAUUUCUGCAUUAUGCCCUAUAGUUACCAAGUGGUAUAACAGAAGUUGCUAUUAUAUGUCCUACCUAGGUGAUGCCGUGGAAGGAGUGUUUCUGAUUUCUUGUUUGGUGUGGAAUGAGGGAUUCCAGUGAACCAAGGUUGUUGGGCAGUGCCUUGUGGGUUGCAUUAACAAUCAGAUAAAGAAUUGGUCACAAACUGCCUGUCACCACAAUCUGUAAGCUAUGUGAACUCCUGAGUAGACAAUACUUUCUACCAUGCGAAUUAUUGACAGGAUCAUGGGUUAGGCAUGGCUAUGAUUACAGAGCCUCUGCUGUACCAGGUAAUGUGAUAGAGUAGCUAUCCUAAAGCAGCUUAAGAGCCAAGUAAUAUUUCUACAUUUUACCACAUGAAUAAAAUCAUGUCUCCAGGAUCAAACACCUAAGUGGCAAAGCUGCAAUUUGAACCUAGAUCUCCCAACACCAGAACCUCCUCUCUCUCCAUGAUUCAAUGCCGCUUUAGUGGAAAAUGAGGAAGUGAUAAAAGUGGCCUACCAUAAAUACACAGAAGCACCAUUUUCGAGAGGGGAUUUCUAAUAGCACACUCAAUCUACCUAUGUAACUGCUGGCUCUAAAUAGAGUUAAGUAAAUCCUUUUAAUGGAAUAAGAUGCUCAAGGGAGAUAGCAUUAACAUAUAAGAUGCUUAUCAUUCGUUCCCCACAUUCCAAACAGAAGCAAGAGAUGGUUUGAUAAAUGAAUUGAACAAUAGAGUCAUUUCACUGUUGCUUCCAGAAAUACCUUUUAAAAACAGUGAGAAGAAGUUUGGUGUUAUCGCAAAAUUUCCCCAUCAAGGAUUGAAAGUUAUUUUUUUCAUUCACAUGCACUUUACACGUUUAACUUCUUUUUCUUUUCUUUUUUUGAAUCGGCAUUCACAGUUUUUAUUAUUAAAGUAUAAUUGAUUUACAGUAUUGUGUCAAUUUCUGCUGUACAGAAUAUUUACUCGGUCAUACAUAUACAUACAUUCUUUUUCUCAUACUAUCUUCCAUCAUGUUCUAGCCAAGAGACUGGAUAUGGUUCCCUGUGCUGUACAGUAGGGCCUCAUUGCUUAUCCAUUUUAAAUGGAAUAGUUUGCAUCUAUCAACCCCAAACUCCCCAUCCAUCCCACUCCCUCCCCCCUCCCCCUUGGCAACCACAAGUCUGUUCAACUUCUUUUUCUUUGUGGGUGGUUGAUUGAAAUUAUUUCCCCUAAAUAUAGAAAGCAUUUGUGUCUACAGCCAUUAAAAAAAAAAAAAAAUGGCAAGACGGUACAUUCACCUUCAGCAAUCGGUACUGCUGACAAAGGAGGAUCCAAGUUAAAAACAAAAUGAUUCUUAAGUGGCAUUAGAAUAUGGUAUUCUUCCCUUUUUCUUGUUGUUCUUUAUACUUUAAAUUUGGCUUUGCAGCAAAUAAAGAUUUCGUGCUUCACUUGGCUUGGCCACCUGAAAGAGUCCAAUAAAAGAUCCACUAGGGAAUUUUUGAAAAGAAAGAAUGCAGUGGAGCAACAAAAGAGACGUUCAAAGACAUACACACAGAACACUCACACCCAGCACACAAAUGCAUAUACGCAGGCACACCCCCUCACACACACACACUCAAACCCACCACACACAUGCACGCACCCAAGCCAGUUAAAGUAAAUGUGCAAAAAACCUAAUCAGAGCUGACAUUUAUUAAGGGACUAAGAUAUGCCUUCCAUGGUGCUAGGCAAUCCAGCCCGUGAAAGCGUUAGCCUCUUUCUUUCUCAAGAGGGCGGGGCUGUGAUUACCACCAUUUCUCAGAAGAGGAAGUGAGAGCAGAGAAAUACAGUACAAAGGAAGAGAUCUGUGCUGCUCUGAACUGUACUCAAACUAUGCACAUCAUCUAAAAAUUUACAAGCAUUUCAGCUUAAAUCUCUUACUCUGGCAUUUUUUUCCUUCUACCAUACAGCCCUGCAGAACUCUGUUCAGUGAGCAAAUUGUGAUGCAGAUCCGUGUGCUGAGAAUAAGCUUUCUGGACUGGGUGCCCUGACUUUGUGUGUGUGUGUGUGUGUGUGUGUGUGUGUGUGUGUGUGUGUUUGCCAUUUCUUGGGCCGCUUCUGCGGCAUAUGGAGGUUCCCAGGCUAGGGGUCAAAUCGGAGCUGUGGCCACGGGCCUAUGCCAGAGCCACAGCCAUGCGGGAUCCGAGCCACAUCUGCAACCUACACCACAGCUCACGGCAAUGCCAGAUCCUUAACCCACUGAGCAAGGCCAGGAUCAAACCCGCAACCUCAUGGUUCCUAGUCGGAUUGGUUAACCACUGCGCCAUGACGGGAACUCCUGGGUGCCCUGACUUUAAGUCUCAGCAGCAACUCCCUGGAUGGUGCGCCAGUGAAACAGCUGCCCCACCUCUGAGUCUCUCUCCAUUCCCAGUUGGUCCCCUGCACUCCUCCGGGAACACUUCCCCAAACACAGACCGCGUUACGUCACUGUCCUGCUGCAAAAUCCCUGCAAGGAGGUGGUCGGGCCUCAAAUCUUGAGCUUAGCUCCAAAGGCCUUUCACACACAUAAUACACAUAAUUCCCCCUCUGGAUCUUUUGUAUUUCCCAUUCCCAUUUCCUGUCUAUAUCUAGAAAAUCUCUCUUUCAUUCGAGACCUGGUUCACAGGUCACCCCCUUUCCAGGGCCCUGCCCAGCUCGCUGCCGUGCACUUUAUGUCAGCAUUGAGUGUCACGUGCUGACUGUGUUUAUUCACAUCUCGGCACAUUAGACUUUCAGCUACUUGCGAGAACCGCCUGCCCCCUUGUUUCCCAAGCAAUGGGCGCAAAGACUGGGGUGGAUUCAAUCUUCAAAAUGCAAGUUUGUUUGGUAUUUUUUAGCGAUUGAACACAUGAGUGAAUGUCUUCACCCUGCUGUGGUCUCAUUUCUCUCCAGCCCUCUCCUUGCAGCUGUGUGUCGUGUUUGCUGGGAGGUGACCUUUUAUUCAAGGUUCUUUUCAGGGUCCGUGCAUCUGGCCAGGCAGUUCUUUUCAAACAUCUUGCUAUUUUCCCCUCUCAAAAUGUUCUUGGUUUAUCCGCUCAUCUCUGAACAAAGCUAUUUACGAGGCAGUGUUCCUGGUCGUUUGGCAGGGGGGCCUGCUCUCAGGGCUUUCCUCAAUUGAUUUGACCCAUUUUUUCACACAUACGAUUAGAAAACUGCUUCGGAUGUGAUUUCUCUUGAACAAAAGCCGCACCUAACAUUUAGAGGGGCUCAAAUAUUGACUCUCUCUCUUCCAUGCUUCAUUUACAGAGUUAAAUAGAAACUGGGAGUUAGGAGGACUCCAAAUUUACAUUCCUGAAUACUUAGGAAUGUAAUAGUCUUUGCUGGUUAUCAAGCAAAGACAACAGAGAGCCUGCCUGGCCCAGAGGCUGAGCUGCAACCUGGGAUCCCACUCUGCACCUGCAGAACAGAAGUUCAGAUUCAUGCUGUGUGGAGUUCCCAUUGCAGCUCAGCAGUCAACGAACCCAUCUAGUAUCCAUGAGGAUGUGGGUUCCAUCCCUGGCCUCGCUCCAUGGGUUAAGGAUCUGGUGUUGCCACAAGCUACAGUGGGAUCUGUUGUGGCUGUGGCUGUGGCAUAAGCCCAGGAACUUCCACAGCCUGCAGGUGUGGC
rnacentral:lncRNA from 1 species